GUUAUUUUGGCAGAUUAGUGCGUUAGAUUUAGAAUCUUUUUAUGUAAGUUUUUACAGAUAAUA
rnacentral:tRNA from 2 species